rnacentral:rRNA from 1 species
UGUUACUUCUAAUAUUUUGUUUUAGAUUAGUAUUAGUUUUUGAAAUUUAACGGAUUUGGCGGCAAGAUAGCCCAUUUAGAGGAACCUGUCCUAUAAACGAUGAGCCACGAGUUACACUACUUUUUUUAGUAAACAGUUUGUAUACCGCUGUUGUCAGUCAGUUUUAGUAGGAAACUGUCUUUUAUUGGUAUAUCCAUUAACUUCAAGUAAAGGUGCAGCUAAUGAAAAAGUAAGAGAUGGGUUACAAUUUAGUGGAUAAAUAAUGAAUAAUAAUAUGAAAAUUUGUUUGAAGGUGGAUUUAAUUGUAAAGUUUAAGCUAACUUGAUAAGCGCACUAGCUUGU